GAGAGUUAGAGAAACCUAGAGUAAAAAGUGAUUAAGUGUGUCUUGAGAGAGUGAAAAAGUAUUCUCUCAAAAGUGUCCAACCUUGUACAUUCAUUAAAAGUUUCUUUCUUCCAAGAUUGUCUUUCUUCCUUUUGUGCCAAUUUCUUCAACAAGUGGUAUUAGAGCCAAGCUAGCAUAGCUUGAUGUGGUGGAGCUUCUGAAGAUCAAGUACAGUCUUGCGACUGUAAAGCUUGUUGUCUGUGACACAGUUACUUGUGGAAUGCAUUCAUCACUACAAGACGAUGGGAGACCUUCAAGUUGUUGGAGGAAUCAAGAAGCUCAACACCCAAAACUACAAAACAUGAUCCACAUGCAUGAAAUUGUAUCUCCAAGGCCAAGACUUGUGGGAUGUUGUAGGAGGCAUUGAAGUCAAUCGACCUGAGGAUCCUGCUGCUUUGAAGAAAUGGAAUAUCAAGGCAAGUAAGGCCAUGUUUGCAAUUAAAACUACAAUUGAUGAAGAAAUAUUGGUGCACAUCAAUACAACAAAGAUGCCUAAGAAAGCAUGGGACACGUUCGCCUCACUUUUCUCAAAGAAAAAUGAUGCAAUAUUGCAAUUUCUAGAGAAUAAGCUCUUGUCAAUUGCUUAAAGGGAGAUGACUAUCAACCAAUACUUCAUCAAGGAGGAAAUGCUCUCAAGGGCUUAGAGGGCAAGAAAAUAUUCUAUGGUUUGAAUGUUAAGCUGUCAAGGGAAUAGAGGAGAAUUAACACAGAGAAUAACAGAGAAAUUUAUGCGAUGAUAUUAUGUCAAGCUAUGCAACCAAAUUCGCAUGAGGCUGGUGAUGGUAAAUGAAGGCAUUGUGUUAGGAGAGUCGUGAAGUAAGUAUCAGUUGAAAGGCUUAGAAGUUGGCCAGUGAGGCGGUUGUGGAUCAAUGCGACGAAGAUGUUGUUCAGAGGAUGCAGUGAGAAUGGAAGUAUGCGAUGACCAGGAGAGGGUUUUGAUGGUCCUAACUUCAUACAAUGGAGUUAUGCUAAAGAGUACAAUUUAAUCAACCAGUGAGUGGGCUAGAUGGAAGUCUUAAGAACGUUCAUUAAGGAUUAGGAUACCAGAUGGUAUUUAAUUAGGUUAGCUGAUUCAUGAAGCCCACAUAUAAAGAGAAGUUGAAAAGAAGGGAAAUGUUUUGUCAAUAUUUUUCUAUGCCUAAGAGAAAGUGUUGCUGCCAUCUGAAGCUUAGAAGGAGUCGAAGAACUCUCGGGCAGGUUUGAGAGAGUUAAGGAUUUCCAACCGAUCCAAAGGAAUUUGGUGCUCAAAUUCUAAGGUAAAAGAGUUAAGAUGUUUAUGAGAGAACUCAUUAAAGAAAACCUAAUUAGUUAAUGGCUGGAAUUAGAACUAUGGAAUCUAGAAGAUUGAAAUCUAAAAUGAUAUUGUGGAUGAAUAAGUAGGCAACUGCAUACGGAGAAUAAGUAGCAACUAACCAGUUGAUGAUAUGCGUUGAUGCAUGUACAAAAUAUUCACAACUGAGACACUUUGAGUGUGAUGCAUAGUGGAUGCUCAUCACAUAAGCUAAAAGGGGUGUUACAGUGCCUACCCAAGCACCGUGAGAGAGAGUUUCCAUUUUCCAGCCAAGUUAUAAGAUAAAAUGACUAAGUGUAGUCGAUGUGUUGAGAUGAGCGAUGCGAGGAACUUAGUCAUGAUGUGAUGAAACCAAUAGUAUGCGAUGAUGCAAAAUUUAUACAUUAGGCUCAAAAGGGAGCUAAUUAUACUGAUCAAUGGAACUUUUUUUAUUUCAGGGCAGACACAAAUAGGAGAGGUUUACAGACCUUUGGAUAAAUAGCUUAAGACAGUGAAUGACAAGUUUUGAUAAAUGUUUUCUAAUGAUUGGUUUUUCAUGUGGUUUUUAGCGCAAAAUCGAUUCAACAUGCAGUUUUAAAACUAUGAUUUCUAUGAUGCAUGCUUUACUCAUCUGUUGGACGCACGACCCAUUUUUUCAAAUAAAUGAAAUUUCAUAUGUGAGUUUAGCAUGUCA